GUUCUUGACGGGUCACUGUGGUCUCCCUCCGGCCCUCACUGUCCACCACAGUCCUGCGCUCCUCCACUAUCUACAAGCAGAAGUCACCACCAUAUGCUAACAUCACUAAAGGUCCACUCUUUCCUGCCGACCGAAGGCGUUUCGAGGAGUUGACGCGAUGGUCUCCGACAGCCGCCAGGGGGCAGCCCCGCCGCACAAAUGGAGCGACCCGAGGCCCUCAAGCCGCCUCACCAAGGGGCACAGGCGCAGAAACCACCUCGCCGUCUGCCUCCGUCGCAUUCUAAACUGAUCUGGGGCACGUCUAUUAGAGGAAUGGACAGUGUUUUACCAGCUCCUUCAAGUACCGAAAUCCUCAGAGCUGAUAAUGACAGGGGGACGCUUGGAAUUCAUCUCUUCAGCUCAGAGUUUAUCAUAUCCACAAAGGGUUCUUUUUUUCUGAACAGGCUGUGCAGCCAGCAAAAUCAAAGCAUUUGUAGGGCCACCAGGGAAGGGAAGCUUUUCAGGUAUCCUGUAAAGCAACAAAUUGGUGGCUAUCAGAAUGCCUUCUGCAGGGCGCAAUAGAGCACCCCUGUAUUCCCGGUGACUCGGGAGGAGGCAGGAGGACGGCUAGUUCGAGGCCAGCCCUUAGUAACGUUGAGACGUUGUCUUAAAAAAUAGCUGGGGAUGUAGCUCAGCGGCAAAGCGUCCCUGGGUUCAAUCCCCAGUACCAAAACAAAGUUAAAAAGGGAGGGAGAUGCGGCUCCGUGUAGAGCGCCCCUAGUUAGAUCCACAAUACCGUUAGAGGUCACAAAUCCCCUUUUCAGCCUGGAGCUGCGGGCCUACAUCCGUAGUCCCUAGUCAGGGGGCUGAGGCAGGAUGGUGGCUUCAGGCCAGCCUAAAACAGGCAGAGACCCCAACUCUGUCAUGUACUCAGAGCCUCUUCCUUCCUGCACCUUACGCCCACCUUAGGUCUUGCUCUGGAGUACUCUCUUCCUGAGACUGGGUAUAACAGCCUCAUGGGGCAUUCAAGAACAAGGCUGGGCAUGUGGCUCAAGCGGUAGCGCGCUCGCCUGGCAUGCGCCGGGCACUGGGUCCGAUCCUCAGCACCACAUAAAAAUAAGGAUAUUGUGGCCACCUAAAACUAAAAAAAAAACAAAAAGCAAGAAAUACCGCAGUCUAAUUCUAGCAGGGAAAUGGUUUGCCAGCCAAAAGUAAUGUUGCUUCCAAUUUCUUUUCAUUUGUGGAUCCAUCUAUGUCAUACUUAAGACUCCUUAAAGCCAUUUCUUUGAAAUUGUCUCAGCUCCUUCUUCAUCCUCCCCCCCCCCUUUCCAUCCAAUCUCUAUCCUCUCCCUUCACUGUCUGAAAUGUGCUGAAGAUGUGGCAGUUUCUGGAAGAAAUGAAGAUUUGUAGUGGCUCUUUUCAGGCUCAGGUUGUGAAAUUGUUAGGGGUGAAGGGAAUCCCUUCCAGGGCAAGAUACUAGCACAUUAAGGUCAGAGUAGUUCUUAAAGGGCAAAGAUUUCAUUUUAUUCCACUGCCUUCGAGGCCUGCAAGAGGAGGCCCAGUUGGUACGGUAAUACUUAUUCACCAAGCUGGUCAUCGACGAGACUGAGGAUAUCCUAGACGGAGCAAGAAUGGGCAGAGGCUGAAGGUAGAGGUUUUCUUUUUAUAUAUACAAGACACAUUAAUCCAUUAAAUUUGAGGACACAGUACAAAAAAAAAAAAAAAAAAAAAAAAAAAAAAAAACACUUCAACUAAUUCAUCUGACAAUGCUGUUCAUAUUCAUGACGCCAUUUUUUUGUUGUUGUUGUUUUUGUUUUCCUAAUAAUAAAGGAGGAGACUUAGGGCUGUUGGGCUGAUAUAUAUUUGGGGGUCCCACCUCCCCACCUCACCCAUAUACCACCAGGGUGAACAGGAAGAAGUGAAGGAAGGGCAGGGCCCACAGCAAAGUUUCAUAAUCUUGAAUGCAAGGGAGGAGGAGGAAGAGGAAAGGAAGGAAAGAAAAAAAAAAAAAAAGAAAAUACAAAUCCUAUAA